rnacentral:rRNA from 1 species
GAUAAACGCUGGCGGCGUGCCUAAUACAUGCAAGUCGAGCGAACGGACGAGAAGCUUGCUUCUCUGAUGUUAGCGGCGGACGGGUGAGUAACACGUGGAUAACCUACCUAUAAGACUGGGAUAACUUCGGGAAACCGGAGCUAAUACCGGAUAAUAUUUUGAACCGCAUGGUUCAAAAGUGAAAGACGGUCUUGCUGUCACUUAUAGAUGGAUCCGCGCUGCAUUAGCUAGUUGGUAAGGUAACGGCUUACCAAGGCAACGAUGCAUAGCCGACCUGAGAGGGUGAUCGGCCACACUGGAACUGAGACACGGUCCAGACUCCUACGGGAGGCAGCAGUAGGGAAUCUUCCGCAAUGGGCGAAAGCCUGACGGAGCAACGCCGCGUGAGUGAUGAAGGUCUUCGGAUCGUAAAACUCUGUUAUUAGGGAAGAACAUAUGUGUAAGUAACUGUGCACAUCUUGACGGUACCCUAUCAGAAAGCCACGGCUAACUACGUGCCAGCAGCCGCGGGUAUACGUAGGUGGCAAGCGUUAUCGGAAAUUAAUGGCGUAAAGCGCGCGUAGGCGGUUUUUUAGUCUGAUGUGAAAGCCCACGGCUCAGCCGUGGAGGGUCAUUGGAAACUGGAAAACUUGAGUGCAGAAGAGGAAAGUGGAAUUCCAUGUGUAGCGGUGAAAUGCGCAGAGAUAUGGAGGAACACCAGUGGCGAAGGCGACUUUCUGGUCUGUAACUGACGCUGAUGUGCGAAAGCGUGGGGAUCAAACAGGAUUAGAUACCCUGGUAGUCCACGCCGUAAACGAUGAGUGCUAAGUGUUAGGGGGUUUCCGCCCCUUAGUGCUGCAGCUAACGCAUUAAGCACUCCGCCUGGGGAGUACGACCGCAAGGUUGAAACUCAAAGGAAUUGACGGGGACCCGCACAAGCGGUGGAGCAUGUGGUUUAAUUCGAAGCAACGCGAAGAACCUUACCAAAUCUUGACAUCCUUUGACAACUCUAGAGAUAGAGCCUUCCCCUUCGGGGGACAAAGUGACAGGUGGUGCAUGGUUGUCGUCAGCUCGUGUCGUGAGAUGUUGGGUUAAGUCCCGCAACGAGCGCAACCCUUAAGCUUAGUUGCCAUCAUUAAGUUGGGCACUCUAAGUUGACUGCCGGUGACAAACCGGAGGAAGGUGGGGAUGACGUCAAAUCAUCAUGCCCCUUAUGAUUUGGGCUACACACGUGCUACAAUGGACAAUACAAAGGGCAGCGAAACCGCGAGGUCAAGCAAAUCCCAUAAAGUUGUUCUCAGUUCGGAUUGUAGUCUGCAACUCGACUACAUGAAGCUGGAAUCGCUAGUAAUCGUAGAUCAGCAUGCUACGGUGAAUACGUUCCCGGGUCU